CAAAGGCCAUCUAGUUGUUUUACAGAUGAGGAAACUGAGGCCCUUAGAGGGGCAGGCUUCACCCAUUAGGUGGGGGUUCUGAGGAUGUGAAUUGGAAGAAUGGGGCCCCCGGGUCAGGAACCCAAAGACUGCAGCUUCUGUAACAGGAAGUGUCAGGUGUGUUCAAAUCCAGCACUGAGACUCUUGCUUUCCAGGGCAGGGAAAGAUCCAGGACCCCCUGGAGAAACCCGACAGAGGCUUGGGAAGAGCCAGUGAACAGCCAAGAAAGAAGAGUAAAGAGUGAACCAAAUUGAAUGUCCCUAGAAACGGGAGGAAAAUUUGCAUCUCAUAAGCCAGUGAUUGGGAAGAUGGACCGUCCUGAUUUGGGGCAAGUGGGACAGCCAAAGCACCUUGGAAGUGAGGAACACCAAGGACCAAGAGGAGACCAGAUGAGUUUUCAAACCAGCCCUCCCACCCCCAGGAAAAGUUUAUCCUUUGACUCGCACUCUCUGUAAUGCCGCAGCUCACCCUCAUUUCAAUCUUUUCCCUUCCUCUCAUGCCUGUCCCACAUUCCACCUCCAUUGGCACCAGUUAGUGGCUUCCGUAGGCUAUCCAGCUUUCAGAUUGAGUCUUGGUAUCUGUGUGGGAAGUACUAGCUUGAGUUAAACCCAAAUGAAUAAACUGUCUUACCUGCCAUCUGGAACUCA
rnacentral:lncRNA from 1 species